UGGGUAGUCUAUACGAGCGCACCUCGUUCCUAGUUGCCAGCGGGUAAUGCCGGGGACUCUAGGAAGACAAACCUCGUGUAGAGGUGGGAAGGUGGGGAUGACGUCAAGUCAGUAUGGCCCUUACGACCAGGGCUGCACACGUGCUACAAUGCCCGGUACAAUGGGAUGCAAUACCGCGAGGUUGAGCAAAUCCACAAAACCGGGCCCAGUUCGGAUUGGAGUCUGCAACUCGACUCCAUGAAGUUGGAAUCGCUAGUAAUGGCGUAUCAGCAACGACGCCGUGAAUACGUUCCCGGGCCUUGUACACACCGCCCGUCACAUCAUGAAAGCCGGUUCUGCCCGAAGUACGUGCGCCAACCGCAAGGAGGCAGCGUCCUAAGGUGGGGCUGGUGAUUGGGAUGAAGUCGUAACAAGGUAGCCGUAGGGGAACCUGCGGCUGGAUCACCUCCUUUCU
rnacentral:rRNA from 1 species